CGGCAACGCGCAGGCUGAAGGAAGCGGCUAGCAAAUCUCCGGCCUGACGAACAGGAAGCGUCUUAGGCAUGCGCGGAGGGCGAGCGUGCCAAAUAUCGCAAGCCCGGCAUCCAACCAGAUCCGCAUGUGUAGAGGCGACAGGCGGAAGGAGAGAAAGAG
rnacentral:ncRNA from 1 species